rnacentral:sRNA from 10 species
UUUCUUUUCUUACUUUUUUCUUCUCUAAACUUUUUGGGCACUAAACCUGCAGCUUCUAACCCCAAUUUUCAGCACAUCUAAACCCUAGGAGAAGAAGAAAGAAACAGAAAGAAAGGAAGAAAAGCUUGGUUUUGUAAUUCAAGCAAGCUAAGCUUGAUGAUUAAUAUUUUGAAGGAAUAUUGGAGUGCAAGCACAGGUCAAGCAACCAUAAAGGAAUUGCAACAGUAAAGGUAGAGUACUGUGGUGGUGUACUUAGGAAAAUAACGAGCAACCGGGAAGUAAGAAUAGCUAGAUACGCCUCCGAACAAAUAGCGAUGUAAUAUCCUGCUAUUGUAAGAUUCGGAGGUAGUUGGGACCUAGAUUGAGUGUCCAUG